CCCGAUAGAGGGGGAUAACCACUGGAAACGGUGGCUAAUACCGCAUAACGUCGCAAGACCAAAGAGGGGGACCUUCGGGCCUCUCACUAUCGGAUGAACCCAGAUGGGAUUAGCUAGUAGGCGGGGUAAUGGCCCACCUAGGCGACGAUCCCUAGCUGGUCUGAGAGGAUGACCAGCCACACUGGAACUGAGACACGGUCCAGACUCCUACGGGAGGCAGCAGUGGGGAAUAUUGCACAAUGGGCGCAAGCCUGAUGCAGCCAUGCCGCGUGUAUGAAGAAGGCCUUCGGGUUGUAAAGUACUUUCAGCGGGGAGGAAGGCGAUGCGGUUAAUAACCGCGUCGAUUGACGUUACCCGCAGAAGAAGCACCGGCUAACUCCGUGCCAGCAGCCGCGGUAAU
rnacentral:rRNA from 1 species